UUUGUAAUUGCCGCCUAUUUGGAAAAAUGCCGCAUUAAAUUUUUGCGUAACAAAAUAUAAAAUUAUUAUGUAAACGGGAAUGUCAUUUAUAACUUGGCAUAGCAAACACAUUUUUAAAUGUUUCCACAUGUUUUGAUUGAGAUGUACAACUUGUGAAGUUCGCACUUUUAAAGUUAGAGCGUGUAGAGAUAUAAAAGUUAGGCGCUAAAUGAAAUCUUAUAAAGUUGUGACAGUGUAAGUCAUAUGGUCUCGUCUUAGCAAUAUUGCGCAUGAAAAUAUUUUCGGUGCGAUUAGUUUUAAUAGGUAGUUUAAUAGUUUUCAAUUUUUGUGCAAUUUAUUUAGUGCAAUCAAAUUUUCUUAAAAUCUCUAUAUCUGGAAAACCGUCGAGCUUUUAUAGCAACUUCUGAACAAAAGUUUUAUCCUGUUUUGAUUUCCUAAUAACGAUCGUACAUCAUGUUGUACUCAUUAUUCAAUUACCUUGUAUAUACAAACGGUUGUUAUUAUUAAGUUUUGAUAAUUCCGUCUUUAGCCACAUAGUCUGCUCCUAACGUUGGCUAAAAAAAUUAAAAAAAUAUUUCAGUAAAAUAUGUGUUCUACAAAAAAACUAAUUCAUAAUAAAUUGAACUCCGAUAGAAUACCUAUUUCCCUCCGAUUGUAAUUUAAAUUUUACAAUUGGGGGUUCACUCAAAUGAGUUUUUAAAUUUACGUAGAAGUUUAAAUGCACAAAACUUUUUAUACGAAAUGCCAAAAUUAUAGUUGAACUAAUGCCAAAAUUAUAUCUAUUUAUAGUUAAACUGACUGGAUGUGACAGAAACAGUGGUUAAGCUAGUUGUAAUACAAGUUUUUUCUAUUUUUUUUUGUUUUACUAUAAGGAUUCACGAAACAAUAAAUUAUUUCACGGACUAAAAUUAAUUUUAUUAAGUUCAGAUAAAAAGCAAUCCACCACCGGGAAAAAAGAGCUUUGAGAGACGAUAAAUCUGGACGAACUUUGGGGAAUUCAUCCCGCACUACAAGUAGAUCGGGGAACGUCAUCUAGCAGCCUGCAUACCGCUGGACAUGGAGGCAAAAGGACAAUAUAAGGCGUUCUUUUGGCAUCAUUUCGCCUCUCGGUACGAAAAUGAUACCAACAUAAAGAGUGUUGACAGACAGCAGCGAAACAAGUAAGAACCGUCUCCUACAAGAUGAAGGAAAAAUGAAAGGCGGUUUUCCAGGGAUGACUUAGAAGCUGCAACUUUUAAAAUUAAGGAUAUCUGGUGGCAGUUUAUGUGUUAUAAUGUGUGUGCUGGAUGUAUAAAGUGCGCUCCUAUGGGCUUGGAAAAGAUGGUGGAUUUGGCUAAGCGGACUGGAAAACAGGUCGUAAUUAGCUGCGAUGCUAAUGCUUAUAAUUCCAUCUAUAGCAUAGAUACGAAUACUAUAGGUGAGUCUUUAUUUGAUUUCCUUAUUUGUACCUUUUUAGGGUGGCUAACGUAGGUCAUAGGCUCACAUUUGUAAAAAGGAUUAGGCAAUAGGUAUUGAACCUUACACUGAUCUCGCCUUUCUGAGUGAACUUAUGGGAUCAUAGACACAUAGAUUUGUAGGUACUUGUUCACUGGUUCGUUUCCUAGAUGGGUCAGUGAGUAUUUGACGUUUAAAAGUGGAGAGGCCAAGUUGGUGACCUGCUCAUUGAGCUGUGCAGAUUGAAAUAUCAUUUUCACAAAUUAGAACAAUCUAAGGCCGUUUGUGUGGAUUUUGUCAUGGUGAAAAAAAGAUGGAUGAGCAUAUUCUCUGUUCUGUUAUCUGAUGACUGUUGUCCAGAUUUGAGGCUGGUGACUGGGGUAAGGUUGAGCAAAGUGAGGCCGUGGUGGACACGGACAUAAUACUGAGCGGACAUAAUACCAAGAUUCUUCAGGGGACUAGAAAAAUUGUUUAUGAAAGCGGAUCCCGGAUUACAAAAGUUACUAGGAUCCAGGUGUGGAGAGCGACACGGGUUCGGUCUUCCGCAAUUUAAAAAAAAAUACUUGGAUUGAAAUUUGCUGCAAAAUGGUACAUUAAUGCGCAAUUCAGUUUAUGUCUGCUGAAUAAUGUAGGAAUAUGAAUAGUUUUGAGGCGAUUUUAAAGUCAAGAUUAUAUAUAUUUCUGAAGUGGGUGACAUUAUGGAUGUCAUACAUAAUAAAACAAUUUUUAAUAUAUACAAUAGAAAAUGGAUAAAAUUUUAACAUGU